AUGUGGCGUUGCAUCUAUCAUUUUCAGGAAGCUUCGGUGUCUCAUGAGGUUAACUGUUUCUUUUCAUGGGUGCUCCACUAUAACUUGCGUGCUCUAUAUACCCUCAGAACGUUACCUGUACGGCAGUGCCUUGAAUAUUCUUCUGUAGGACAUUUUUCUGCCGUGCCCACUGAUUUCAUUAAGGCAAUCAUGAAGGUUAAUUACAAACCACUUGCCAAAAAAUGCAAGGAGAAACAUAGCGCUGUAAUGCUAUCAUAUACAUCUGGAAAGGUGGAAGCUGAUUGGUUUGCCCCUCAAUAA
rnacentral:rRNA from 1 species